GCCUCUGUAGCUCAGUUGGUAGAGCAUCGCUUUCAUGCGGCGAGGGUCGAGGGUUCGAAUCCCUUCGGAGGCA
rnacentral:tRNA from 1 species